CAUUUUUAUUUUAAACUUACACAGACAAACAUCAGAUGCCGUGUGGUUUGUCUCUGACCCUUUGCGCUACUUCAUGACAGCUUUACUGAGUGAAGCCUGAAUACCCAAUCGGGAAGGCAAGAUGUUCUUGUCUUUUCCCAACUCUCUUCAAAGUUUAACAGCCUUGGAAGGAGUCUUAGAACAGCAACAAAAGCACAAUUUACAGAAAAAUGGGGGUGCUGCUAUCUGUUUCCUCGCAGGUGGUUUAUUCUUAAUAACUAUGUCCAUUUUCACAUGGAUGACACCACUGAGAUGAUGAAUACCUGUAUUGAUUGAUUGAUGAAGAACAUUUAUCUUUUUCUACCUACUUUUGGAAGCUAGCUUGCAAAAUCUACUGCAACAUUCACUCUUCAUGUAUUCUUCUGUUACCUUUGGUACCCUGAAUAACCUUUUUAAAAAUUUUUGUACUUUUCUAAUAUGAAGAGAAGUAGCUUCAUAUUCUAUGCUAGUUUUCUGAGGUGUUUGUGCUGACUCAUUUUUUAAAUUAUACUAAGAUAUAGAGCAUGGUUUGAGAGCAGUAAUGAGAUUCUCAGAAAAUAUGAAAACUUUCCUUUCUGACUAGUUAGAGAAAGGUUGGGGAAGACAAGGGGAAAUACAUCAAUGAGCCAAUCAAUUAUUGUUAUUUGUUGGGAUUAAUUUGGUG
rnacentral:lncRNA from 1 species